AAGAUUAAGCCAUGCAUGUUACUAGUCUCCCGAUAAUCUCGAAAUCUGCGAACGGCUCCGUAUAUCUGUUAAAACCCGCCGCCCCUUAUGAAAGGUUGGUAAGCGGAUAUAGCUCGGUAAUUCUGUCAGUAAUACGUGUACGUGCAGCGCCCCCUGGAGGUUAGAGCCCGACGGCCACCUUAAGGAUGGGGGGAAUCCGGAGGUCACCACUCGCGAUGAGUCGGCCGGAUAGUACCAGAGCUUUGGGCCUGAGGCGGCGGUUUUCAGACCUAUCAACUAGAGGCCUGCGUAGUGUGCAGGCCUGGUUUUAACGGGUACAGAGGAUCAGGGUUCGGUCCUGGAGAGGUAGCCCGAGAUAUCGCUACUACUUCUAAGGAAGGCAGCAGGCGCGCAACGUUCCCAAUGGGGCUCCCUGUAGUCCUGAGGACGUAACGGAACAUACCUAUGCCCCGCCCUUAGGGCUGGGGUAAUCGGAAUGGGGGGAUUUUAAACCCUACUACCGAGUAACAAUUAGAGGACAAGUCUGGUGCCAGCACCCGCGGUAAUUCCAGCUCUAAUAGCAUCUAAUUAAGUUGUUGCAGUUAAAACGCUCGUAGUUCGAAUACGUUUCGGGUAAGCGGUCCGUCUGCGGGGCUUUAAGGAGGCGCUUCGGUGCUUCUCGGCCUUUGCUUAAACGCGCACGCCCGAUCCGAUAGUGAUCCGGACCCGGCUACGUAUAACAGCCGCCUAAUAGGUCCGGGUAAUUUACCUUGAGUAAAUGUUAGGGCUCAAAUCAGGUCUUUCGACCCGAAUUUUAUAUUAGAGCGACCUGUAGCAAGGAACGAUAGAAUAGGCCUCGUGCCAGCUUGGUACGCUGCAGAGAUAUGGUCAAUAGGGGAGAUCGGGGUCAGCCACAUGGCAGGGGUAGGGGUGAAAUCCGAUGAUCCUUGCUAGGUGAACUAGAGCGAAAGCAGCUGACAAGUACUCUUUCUUUGAUCAAGAACGAAAGUCUGGGGAUCGAAGAUGAUCAGAUACCAUCGUAGUCCAGACCCUAAAUGUUGCCGACCAUGGAUGGACCUAAGUCCAUCCCGACCCGGGCCGCACCUUGUAGGAAACUAGCAAGUGUUUGGGCUCCGGGGGGAGUAUGGUCGCAAGACUGAAACUUAAAGGAAUUGACGGAAGAGCACACAAGGAGUGGAGCCUGCGGCUUAAUUUGACUCAACACGGGAAAACUCACAUUGGCAAGAGAGGGGUAGGAUGCACAGCAUAACUUGCUACGCAAGAUUCUCUCAGUGGUGGUGCAUGGUCGUUCUUAGUUCGUGGAGCGAUUUGUCUGGUCUAUUCCGCUAACGAGCAAGAUCCCGACUUCUGGGUGUUGCCGCCCCUGUGCGGCUUGGUGCGUGCGCCGGGUUCCGGGCCGGGUCCUCACGGACUUGGUCGCAGGCUGCCUAGUGCUGCAUCGGUUAUUAGUAGGAACGGGCCGAGUGCGUAAGCACGGAGCUCCGGUCCCGGUUUUUUCAGGGUGAUACACGACUCUUGGGUCUUUGGGCCUGCAAGGCGUGCCCGCUUUCAAGCGGGAGUAACGGGUCAAUAACAGGUCAGUGAUGCCCUUAGAUGCUUUUGGCUGCACGCGCGCUACAAUGGAGCGAGCACCGGGUGACGGCUCCUAACGGAAGCUCGCGGGUUACACCGCGUUUGUCAACCCUCGAAAUACGCCCCUUAACUGGGAUCGCACCGAGUAUCUCGGUACGCAUGAACGUGGAAUUUCUAGUACCCGCCGUUCAACAGACGGUGUGGAUUCUGUCCCUGCUCUUUGUACACACCGCCCGUCGCUCCUACCGAUUGAGCUCCUGGGUGAGCUAGGGUGACCCGAAUGCUGUUCGGUCUUUUAAGCCACAUAACGCGGUGGCCGGGCUAUUCACUCAACACGGGGCAACCUGGAAACCGAUAAUCUUCGCGAACCGUUGGCUUAGAGGAAGGAGAAGCCG
rnacentral:rRNA from 1 species